UCUUGCCACAUGGAAUUGACCCUUGGGGGCUUGAAGAAAGCAGGAUUUGUGGCUGCUCUGAAAUGCCAGUGGUCUGGUCCAGCAUUCCUCUUGUCAAUACGAACCUUGUGUUUUUAUUGGAAACACGUGUCAAAACAAAACAGUGUUUGAGGCUGCUGCUGAGAGAAGGUGGGCAAGUCCACAGACAGCCAACCUGUUUUUUCUGCUUGUUUCCAAACAUACCAUGCCACACUGCUCGUCACAUUCAAAUGGAGGGAAAGAUGAGUUAGAGGGAUGAGAGUGACUGUGACAUUCUGCUAUACCUGAUGAGGUCCAAAUUGAGAGUUUAUAUUAGGAUUACCCCUUGAAGAAAAGCUAUUGCAGCAAGCCAGCUCUGUACUUUUCUGGAUGGGCAGUAGAGUGUUUGGAGAAGACCAGCCAGUCAUAUGUAAUACUUCACUCCCUGGGGGCUGCCAAAACACUUUGAAAACAUUUCAAGCUAUGAACCAUGGAACUAUUACCUGCAUCACAGAAAAGCCAAAGUAAGGAGAGCUCUGUGGUAAAGGAACUGGUAUUGAUGGAGAAAAGAUUGCACACAACUAUCACGGCAAUGUGCCUUCAAUCAGCGUUUAGGUCUCAUCCGUAUUAAGAGUUUAUGCCUCUGACAAAAAACAGGAAACAACAUUGAAUUAGAUACUACCAAAAGAAGAUACUGAAGGAAGAGAUUUACUGUGCCAGAAUGAUGAGAAAAUGAAUUUUGACGUGUCACCUGGGACUAAAUGGGACAAUUGUUCUAUCUCUGUGCUGUGGAUUUCCACCAUGACAAAGUAACUCAGAUCCUGACACAGAGUCAGUGACAGCUUCAGAAUAGGAUUUCACUGAGCCACGGUGCUCCCCAGCCUCCAGAUACAAUUACUGGUAGUACCUCUGCAGAGAGGCAUCUUUGGGACAGCCCAGCAUUUAUGGAUUUGGAUUGUUUCAGAGAGCUGUGCUUUUAAAUCUAGGCAAAGUUGAAUAAUAUCCCCCAGAUGCUCAUUUUUAAUGGGGCUGUGAAAUCAAGGUGAGGACCUGGUUGCUCCAAGCUUAACAAAAAGGGAUUUCCAAGAGUGAAGUAGCCCUAUUUUCUCCUUCAACAGGUCUUUAAGUUGUGCAGCACUCGUUCGUCAGCAUCAGACUUUGAUUUGGCACUGCUUUGUUGUGCAGAUGUAGCAAUCACAUUCACAAGCCUGGAACUAAUUAAAAAUGGAAUAUUUUAGAUCAGUCAUGGUGAGUGUGGCCAGAUUUACAGGGAUAAUACAAGAGUGCUUGAGGAGCAGACUGAUCUAGCUUUUUUAAAACGUUCUUCCUUCAACACUGGUACAUUACCUACAGGCCAAUUGGGUUGGUCCUUUGCAGCACUAUCUUUUAUGCACCCUCAGGCUGGUUGAAGUGGAGCUUUAAGGGGACACAGGCGUUUCAUGGUUUGCUGCAUUCCAGAUGUAUGGAGAAUCAUCUUGAAAAAUCUGCCUGAUAGGACAUCACUCUUUUCUUCUUUUUUCCCCUAAUUUUUAAAAAGGGUAUGGUUGCCAAGCUUAUCCAUCACUUUAAUAAGAGACAAUGAGUUAAAGGCAGUGGGAAUAGAUAAAUCAGGAGAUCAGGACAAAAACAGGCAAGGAGAUAGAUAUGGGUUCAUCUAACCCCAUUUGUCUGAUAGCCACAGAGCCAGUAGCAGUCUCAUCGUAGGUAACACCAUUCCAUAAAACUUGGAGACCCAAGUGCUUUCCAUGAGCCUCUCCAAUCCUAUGAAUUCUGUCUGUGAAUGCCUGAGGGGAGGGCUCAACUGCAGACAGCUCCAUAGGGUCUCUGGGGAGGAAAAACUAUCCACGGAGCAAUUACAUGCUGGGUCACCAUAAUUUUCUCCUCGUUCAGCUCACCACUUCCUAGGCUUUGCUGCUCCUGGCUGCCAGCUCUGCACCUGCUCCUUGCUGAGUCAAGCUGGGAAACAAAGAAAAAAACAUUUCUUUCUACUGCAGAGUAGUCAGGCUCAUUAGGGAUGAGUGCUUUUUCCCAUUGCACUGCCAACCGGUGUGCCAUGACACUGGUCGUACGCCAGUUACACUGCUCAUUACAGGCUGAUGGCAGCAUCAAGUUUCUGUCACCGCUGCUUUGUGUCACCUGCUCACCUCCUGAGCAGCAACUGGCUGCGAGUUCCUGGGGUUGGGAUCUCUUCAGCAUGUGCAGGCUCUCCGAGGCGCUGUUGUAUUAGCUCCUCCUUGGGACACUGCCUCAAGUCAGACAAAGUAAUGGCAAUACUAAGGCUGUGCUCUAGGUGUUCCUGCUACGGGGAACAGAGAAAGCUUACCU